UGUUUGAGGCUACUCAAUGAGUCCUAGGAGAGGUCCAUGUGGUAUGGAGUGGAGGCCUCUUUCCAACAGCCAGUGAGGAACUGAGGCCUUGCACCAACAGCAUGCCAUGCUAUGGAGAUUGCACAAUGGACCUAUUGCUUCAAAGGAGAGUCACACAACACUCCCCAGCCACUGUGUUGACAGCCCUGGGCUGGAGGAAAGGCAGCAGUCUUCACAGAGCUCACUUUACGGCUGGGCUCACCCUUCACCCCAAGACAGCUUUGAUCACUGGGAAGUUUCCACAAACACAGAAUGAAUGAGGAAGAAGGUGAUUAUAUUUUCGGUGUGAUCCACGUGGACGAGAGGUGUUGCAUGUUUUUACAAAUUGAAGAUCUGUGACAACCCUGGGUCAAGCAAGUCUAUCAGUGCCAUUCUUCCAACAUAGGUGUAUAUGCUGGAGCAGCUGUACUUAAGUCCAGAAAUAAGAAGAUAUUUGAUCUGAGGACUCAGGAGAGAGCAUGGCUGCUGCAUAGAUGGUGCCUUCCAUCGCUUGACAUAGGGAAGCCCAGCCAAAGCCUGUGUCUUGGGCAGCCGGGGAGCUCUCAGGAUGGCUUGAAAUCUCCCACAUGGCCUGGGCCUGUUCUCCUUCCCCUCCAGCUCUCCUGGGUGCAGUCAAAGCUUCACUCCCUACACCCUACUGAACUAUCAGCUGACUGAUUCCCACUUGUCCAUGCCCCAGGACCCCACAGAAGCUCCACAUGCUUCCACAAGCUGAUGCACCAGUUCCAAGAGGAGGAAGAAAAGCUGGCACUCAGCCUUUAUUUCUCCCCAAACACCACAGUCAUUCAAUUCUGAAAAAAAAAAAAAAAAAAAAACCCAUUGCUUUGAAAAACAUAAAAUGAGAUCUAUCAAACAGCAUCUUGUAUUUUAAAGUGGAAAGAAUGGACUUUGGAAUCAUCUUUGGCAGCUAAUAGGCUGGGACACGCAGAGAAAGAGCUUGCCUGCCUCUGCAGACAUUCCUUGGACGAGUGGUUCUAAAUCCCAGCUACACACUCAAAUAGCUGCAGGAGGUUUAAAAACUGUCAAAUCUCCCAGCCCCUGCCCAGCCCAGUCAAUAUUUAUCUCAGGAGGAGGAGCCCUAAAACCAGUGUCUUUUCACAGAGCUCCCUACAUGACUUUGAUGUGUGGCCAGGUGAUAUCUCCUGAGUUCGGAGACACUGAUGCUAUCACUCACACCUAGUCAAAUGAGAGGAGUCGGGGAUGACAGAAGAAUGCAGGCAACUUACCUACCUGAAGCUGGGGCCUCAAGGUCACCAUGCCCUUGAGUGAGCCCUGUAUGGGUCUACCUUGUGUCUGAUGGUUCUCAGCAGGCACAGCUUCUCUUCAGGGCUUCUGCCGACAUCUUCCCUGCAUGUGGAAAAUGGCCUGGGGUCCCCUUAGACUCAGCUCAUGUCCUCCCCUUUGCUCAGGUUCCCUCUGAGUCCCGGUACCCGCCCAUGCUGCAGACCUCCUCAUGACUCCUUCCUCCCUGAGGCCUGGCCAUCUGCACACCCCCAUCCUAUCCUGUCAGCUUGUUUUUUGUCUCUUUGGUGACCAGACAUGAACCCCUCAAGGCUGUUCCCUCCACAUCCCCAGCGCUCAGUUUCAGGCCAGCCCAGGGCAGGAUGCACCUCGUGCAGACCAAGGGAAAGAGCCAGCAGCUGCUUCACAUGAGCCUGUCCUCUGCACCUGAAGAGAAUCUUUGGAAGGCCAGCGCCCCCACUUGUCCUGAAGGUGGAGGGGCUGUUCCCUCUAGCCCACACCUGUCAUUCUAGGACUAACUUUCACUUUUUGGAAGCCAGAGCCACUCCCGACCAUUCAGGGCCUUUCAGCAUUCGGAAGGGACAGUGACUCCUCCUUAGAUACCACAUGUAGGACAGGAGGGAAGUUCAAGAGUGGUGUCAAGGGCCAGAGACAGGGAAGCUGGGGGGUCUGAAAGAAGCUUCCAGGAGAUGUCUUCACUGCAAAAUACCAUACACCAAGGGGCUACAGGCUAAAACAAGACAUGUAUUUCUCACAGUUCUGGAGGUUGGGUGUUGGGGAUUAAGGUGCCAGCCAGCAUGGUGGGUCCCUGGUGAGGACUCUCUUCCUGGCUCACAGGUAGCCGACUUCUCACUGUGUCCUCACAUGUGGGAAAGAAAGCUCUGGUCUCUUCAUCCCCUCGUAAGGACUAAUCCCAUCAUGGAGGCACCACCUUCAUGACCCCAUCUAACCGUAAUUACCUUCUAAAGGCACCACCUCCCAUAAUAUCACCCUGGGGCUUGGGGCUUCAACAUAUGGAUUUGGGGGAACACAGACAUUCAGUCCAUAGCAAGGCACAUGGGGAAGUUGGAGCAUGAGAGCAGAGGAGACACCCACACAUCUCAGGAGAGCAGUCACGUGUUCGGAGGAUGUCAAGCCACGCUGAAGGCCCCUAGCCAUGCUGGGGAGAGCAUGCUCUAGCCAUGGAGUUGAAGAUGAGGUGGGAGUUGCCCUUGAGACCUUUCAUCUAGGACCUCCCAAGUUCCAUGAAGAGACAAGAGAAAACAGUAAGGGCACUGUAUUCAAGGGAAUGAGGGGUGAUGAGUCCCUCUUGGGUUCCUCAGUAAUGUCUUCCAGGACAGUCCAUUGAUUACACCUCUGCACCAGUCAGCGGACUUUUAGUGAGCCCUGGUAAUGUGCCAGAUGCUGUGCUGUGAGUGAGAUGUGCACAUUUCCUUCCUCGUGGAGCUCACACUCUCAUGGGGCAGACACACAAUCACACAAUCGCACACAUGUGCAGUGUGCAGAGCCUCCCUACAGGCUGGCCCGUGCCUUCCAGCUGCAUUCACCUGAUAGGAGGGCCAGCUGGAGACCAGAGGCUGGAGGCAGCCAGGGAGGAAUGUGGGCACUGGUUUUCUGACUCCCUGCCCGCUGCAUUCUCUGCAGCAGGCCCAGUUCCCGCCCAGCCCCCAUGCUGCACAAGGUUCUGAGAAUCACUCCUGCCCCCACUCCAUCAGGUCCCACUUAAGGUAGCUCCACUGGCUUAGAGGACCACCCCACCCCAGGGGCUUCACCUAAACCAGUCACACUUUGUAGACAGUCCCCUCAUUGAACUCUGAUCAAAUUACCCAAUUUAAAUAUACCAUCUGUUUCCCGCAGGGACUCUGACUGACCCAGUGACCUAGUCUAGGAGGUUAGGGAGUCUUCUGAGAAAAGGAUGCUUGAGCUGAACUCUGAAGGAUUAAAUUCUCACUGCUUUUAAUAGUAGGAUCCAACAUGUGUGUUUAGUCAGUAGUGGGGGUCCUGGUAAGCUUGAGCCUGCAGUGAGGGGUGCUGCAGGGGACACAGGCGAACCCAUGAAGCCCCUCACCCCACCUCUUAGCCAUGCCUGGCCAGGGAGGGCAUCCCUAGACCCAGGCUCAGCUAUAAGAAAGAGCAAGAACCAACAAACAUUUCUUAAGCACCACUCCGGGGCCAGGCCGUGUGCUGGGCCUGAACGCUUCUCAUAGGUGACGUGGAGACCUGGGGGUGGCUGCCAUCUGGUGCUCUGGGUUUUGAGGGGUGCUCUCUGAAAGACCAAGCUGAGCAGCAGGAGGCCCAGAAAUGGGGGCUCCCAUUAGACAUUGUGGCCAGUCUCACAGCACAGCCAGAAGGGCCAGCACUGCAGGGAGGGGAGCAGAGGGGAGGAUGUGCUCUUUGGCCAGGCGAAAGCCUGGUCCCCAGGACUGAGGUCCUAGAGAAUCAGGGAUGCAGGAGAAUGAUGAAGAGAGAGGUCUCAAGGCCAAAGACAAUAAGGUGAACUGUCAGAAAGUCUGGGAGAAAGAUGAUUUGAGGGUGACCCGAGAGGCUUGCUGUCAAAUGUCCCAAGAUCGGACAGUCGAGCAAGGCAGCAUGAUGGAAGGAAUCUAGCCCUGUCCAUCCACAUAAGCCCAAUUGCAAGUGCACUGUUGGAGUCAUGAAAAAUGUAAUGUCUAGUUCUGGUGUGAGCAGGGCCACUCUCUUCCAAAGAUACUCCCAUGGGAACAGAAAAAAAGGGUAGAAGCCCGAAGAGCCAUAAAAGGCAGCAAGGUCAGGAAGCCACCAGAAUGUCAGUGAGAUGUUUAAUUUUGAAAAUCAAUUAAUGUAAUGUGUCAUAUCAACAGAUCGAAGGGAGAAAGUCCAUGCUCAGGUUUAUAGAUGCAAAGAUCUGUUUGAUAAAAUUCAACAUCCACUCAUGACUUAAUAAAGAAACAAAACCUAUGGCAAAUCACAUGUAAAAGUGUUUAAGAUAUUCCCUUUAAUAUCAGAAAAGUGGCAAGAAUGCCUUCUUUUAUCUUUUCAAUGCUGUAAUGCAUUAAAGGGCUUAGGCAGUGCAAUAAGAAGAAAAAAGAAAUAAAAGAGAGAUUGGAAAGCAAUAAUCAAAGCUGUCAUUAUUUGAGGCAGAUAGAUAAUUGAAAGUACCUCUGAUUGGUUGCAGCAGACAAUCAGAUGUUUGCAUAGAGUAAGUUUGUAACUUCAGCCUCUGGUUGCUUUCCAAAACAAUUAGACUGAUUGCCGGCCACCACUUCAUUUACAUGGGGUGAACACCAAGUGGCCAAUGGGAAACCUCUAGGGGAUAUUUGGACCCCGGAAGAUACUGUAACCGAGGCCCUUGAGCUGCUGCUCUGGCCCACUCCCACCCUGUGGCAUGUACUUUCAUUUUCAAUAAAUUUCUACUUUUGCUGCUUCAGUC